GACGAACGCUGGCGGCGUGCUUAACACAUGCAAGUCGAACGGAAAGGCCCUGCUUUUGUGGGGUGCUCGAGUGGCGAAAGGGUGAGUAACACGUGAGUAACCUGCCCUUGACUUUGGGAUAACUUCAGGAAACUGGGGCUAAUACCGGAUAGGAGCUCCUGCUGCAUGGUGGGGGUUGGAAAGUUUCGGCGGUUGGGGAUGGACUCGCGGCUUAUCAGCUUGUUGGCAGGGUGGUGGCUUACCAAGGCUUUGACGGGGAGCCGACGUGAGAGGGUGACCGGACACACAGGAACUGAGACAAGGUCGAGAUGCAUACGAGAGGAAGCAGUAGGGAAUGUGCCACAAGGGGGGGAAGCCUGACGGAGCAACGUGGCGUGAGUGAAGAUGGUCGGCGGAGCGGAAAAAGGUGGUAGUAGGGAAGAAAAAAUGUGUAAGGAACUAUGCAGGGCUUGACGUGACCUAGUAAGAAAGCCACGGCUAACUCCGUG
rnacentral:rRNA from 1 species